GAUGAACGCUGGCGGCGUGCCUAAUACAUGCAAGUCGAGCGAACAGAUAAGGAGCUUGCUCCUUUGACGUUAGCGGCGGACGGGUGAGUAACACGUGGGUAACCUACCUAUAAGACUGGAAUAACUCCGGGAAACCGGGGCUAAUGCCGGAUAACAUUUAGAACCGCAUGGUUCUAAAGUGAAAGAUGGUUUUGCUAUCACUUAUAGAUGGACCCGCGCCGUAUCAGCUAGUUUGUAAGGUAACGGCUUACCAAGGCAACGAUACGUAGCCGACCUGAGAGGGUGAUCGGCCACACUGGAACUGAGACACGGUCCAGACUCCUACGGGAGGCAGCAGUAGGGAAUCUUCCGCAAUGGGCGAAAGCCUGACGUAGCACCGCCGCGUGAGUGAUGAAGGUCUUCGGAUCGUAAAACUCUGUUAUUAGUGAAGAACAAAUGUGUAAGUAACUGUGCACGUCUUGACGGUACCUAAUCAGAAAGCCACGGCUAACUACGUG
rnacentral:rRNA from 1 species